AUGGUGAUGGGGGUCGCCUUCCUCCUCCCUCCCCUCGACGCCCUCCAUGGCAGCUGGAGGUGGGCAAGUCCGGCAAGGCAGUGUGCAUCGAAUGCCAUGGGCGCAAGUCGGAAGCUGCAGGGCGAGAUCGACCGCGUGCUCAAGAAGGUCCAGGAGGGCGUCGACGUCUUCGACAACAUCUGGAACAAGGUCUAUGACACCGCGAAUGCGAACCAGAAGGAAAAGUUCGAGGCGGACCUCAAGAAGGAGAUCAAGAACCUGCAGCACUACCGCGACCAGAUCAAGACCUGGAUCCAGUCCAGCGAGAUCAAGGACAAGAAGAUGGAGCAGGAGCCCUCCAUGGACGACAUCGACGAGGAGGAAAUCAACUCCCCAAACAAGCCGGCCAAGUCGGGUGGAGGCAAGCAGAAGAAGUGGAGCAAGGGCAAGCAAAAGGAGAAGGUGAACAACACGGUGAUCUUCGACCAGGCCACCUACGACAAGCUGCUCACCAAGGUGCCCAAGUACAAGCAGAUCAUGCCCUCCGUCCUGUCCGAGCGACUCAGGAUCAACGGGUCGCUGGCUCGCAGGGCCAUCAAGGACCUAAUGGAGAGGGGACUCAUCAGGAUGGUGUCAAUCUAG
rnacentral:rRNA from 1 species